UAUUAUUAUUCCUUUUUAAAACAGAUAUUCCAAACAUUGUUAAUUGAUAAACUGUUUUAUCAGGAUAUGGUGUAUUUGCUCUUGCAUCAAUUUAAAAAGGUUCUUUUGUGGUCGAGUACCGAGGGAAGUUCAUCUCAAGACAUGAGCGGGACAAGAGACAGAAACCCUCUAUAAAUAUCUUUACUAUUUAUCUGGCAUUAUAUGCUCAUAAUGUUAACAACAAAAAGUGCUGAUAAUGUUAUAAUUAAUAAGUUCUAACAUUAUUUUUAUGUGUUUUGUUGCAGACACCAACUGUUGAUGUUCUAUCUCAACAUUCUCCAGAUUCAUGUGAGCGAUAAACCGACUUCAUCCCUCCAACAGACACCAACUGUUGGGGUUCUAUCUCAACAUUCUCCAGAUUCAGAUGUGAGCGAUAAACCGACUUCAUCCCUCCAACAGAAACCAACUGUUGAGGUUCCAUCUCAACAUUCUCCAGAUUCAGAUGUGAGCCAUUAACUGACUUCAUCCCUCCAACAGAAACCAACUGUUGAGGUUCUAUCUCAACAUUCUCUAGAUUCAGAUGACAGCCAUAAACCGACUUCAUCCCUCCAACAGAUUGACAGCAGGACAAAUCGCUCGAAGUGGGUAUGUCUCAAGCUUCUUCCACUUGGUCCACU